UCAGAUCACUUCGUUUGUCAUCUGUACACCUGGCUGACAGACUGUACUACCUAUAGUCAGGUCACUUCGUCAUCUGUACUCCUGGCUGACAGACUGUACUACCUAUAGUCAGGUCACUUCGUUAGUCAUCUGUACACCUGGCUGACAGACUGUACUACCUGUAGUCAGGUCACUUCAUCAUCUGUACACCUGGCUGACAGACUGUACUACCUAUAGUCAGGUCACUUCGUUAGUCAUCUGUACACCUGGCUGACAGACUGUACUACCUGUAGUCAGGUCACUUCGUCAUCUGUACACCUGGCCUACAGACUUUACUACCUGUAAUCAAGUUUCCUAAAACAUUGUUCAAUUCUAGUGGAUGUUAGUUGAUGCACCCAAUGGAGGCUUUAAUACACUACUUGUAUUGGCUGAUCAUAUAUUGUAGCAGUUGUGCAGUGCUGUGUGUCCAGGUAGUCUUCUUCAAUAUUAUAAGAGGCUUCUUUCUCUAUUUGUUUGUUUCCAAAUCUGAGUUUGAUUCAAUUGACUUGUUAUGUUUUUACCGGGGACUGUUUCUCAUUCAGCUGUGUCUGAUGAUGUGCAAGUCUGAGUAUUGAUGUCAGGAUAAAAACAAUACUAUUUACACCCAUUACAACCCAUGCUUGAAGUAAGAGGUGAACAUAUUUCCAGCCACAUCUGUGGCCGUAUGCAUAUCUCCGGCGUACGUCCUAUUCCGGGCGUAAAUGUGAACUGCACCCAAGUGCAAAUCUACGCCCUACUGCAUAUCCAUGACGUUGGAAAAGUUGCACCUUACUUUACGUCCCAGAGUAGGUGGCGUAAGCAAGGCGUAACUGAGCAAUGGCGGCCGUAGUCUAUCAACACCGCAGAAGGCACAGAAACCGGAUAUUCAGAGACAGAACGAACCGUUGGAAUUGUUUGACGAUCUGCAGCUCCAUAGUCAGACUCAGAUACUGUUUACUCGUAAACUAUUUACCUGAAAUACUUUAAAGGUGGGGGUUCAAACCUAUACACAGAUGGGGUGUGACCUCCUUGCCUUGUCAAAGCUGUCUUUCGAUUCAAAGCAAUGCAGUAUUCAAGUACAUUCCAUGAUAUUUCACAAAGUGACUUACCGGUUCAUGAUGAAAUUAAGCCAUAGUGUAUGUAUAUCCAUAGAAGUAUGUUAUGAAGGCUCAUGGUAAAAUGUAUGGUUGCAGGCAGCCUACUAAACAUACAUUUUGAAAAUAUAUUUCUCUUUUCAAAUCCAGAUUUGAAUUUCCCACUGUGUCAGUCAGGUGGCCAGAGUAGGUGCGUUUCCAUAGAUACAAGCCUGUGAGUUGGCUAAAAGUUUCAUUCAGGGUUUCAUAUUUCAGGCAGGCUGUGAAAAUGAUCCCCUCCCCUGACCCCAUGCUGUGCAGGGUUAGAGCUGUACACAUAUUUGAUGCUGACAUCAUGUUGAAGAUUUUAUUUUCAGAAAAUAAGUAAAAUUUGAAAUUUCAUAUAUGCUAUUCAAAUUAAUCUCUUUAGUCAUCAAAAUAUGUAGAGAAAAAGCUAUUUCUAAAAAGUUUAUUCUAGUAGUAAAUUCCAAUUAACCUUUGAUGAUAAGCCAGGUGCCAGGCACCCAUGAUCACAGUCCUGUUACUCAGAUAACAUCUAAACUGCUUAAGAGGUUAAGGCAUUUAGAAGUUGAGUAAAGAAGGAUAACAAUAUAUGGAUGCUUCUUUAUUUAUCAUCGGUUUGCUUGAUGGCGGUGUUAGAACCCACCAUGUUGCUCUAACAGCAAUAAAGAAGUUGGUCAUCC